CCUGGUUGAUCCUGCCAGUAGCAUAUCCUUGUCUCAAAGAUUAAGCCAUGCAUCUGUAAGUACACAUGGCCGGUACAGUGAAAUUGCGAAUGGCUCAUUAAAUCAGUUGUUAUGGUACCUUUGAUCACUCCAUCUGUUACUUGGAUAAUUGUGGUAAUUCUAGAGUUAAUACAUGCCAUUGAGCGCAGACCUCGCGGGAUGCGUGCAUUUAUCAGACCAAGACCAAUCCGGGGCCGAUUGCACGUCCCUGUGACAGCGACAAUGCAUUCACAUGUCUGCCUUAUCACCUUUCCAUGGUACUUUCUGUGCCUACCAUGGUGACCACGGGUAUUGGGAAUCAGGGUUCGAUUCCGGAGGGGAGCCUGAGAAACGGCUACCACAUCCAAGGAAGGGAGCAGGCAUGCAAAUUACCCACUCCCGACUCCUGCAACAAUACAGGACUCUUUUGAGGCACUGUAAUUAGAAUGUGUACACUUUAAACCAUUUAACGAGUACCCAUUGAAGGGCAAGUCUGGUUCCAGCAGCCGUGGUAAUUCCAGCUCCAGUAGCGUAUAUUAAAGUUGCUGCAAUUAAAAAGCUUGUAGUUGGUUCUUGGGAUUGAGCUGGCGGUCCGCCGCAAGGUGAGCUACCGCCUGUCCAGGCCCUGCCUCUCGGCACCCCCUUGAUACUCUUGAUUGAGUGUCCUGGGGAUCCGAAGCGUUUACUUUGAAAAAAUGAGUGUUUAAAGCAGGCCGGUCACCUGAAUACUUCUGCUAGGAAUAAUGGAGUAGGACUCCGGUUCUAUUUUGUUGGUUUUCAGAACUGGGGCCAUAAUUGAGAGGGACAGCAGGGAGCAUUCGUAUUGUGCCGCUAGAGGUGAAAUUCUUGGACCAGCGCGAAAUGAGCCAAACAGGGGAAAUAUGGUUGCAAAGCUGAAACUUAAAGGAAUUGACGGAAAGGCACCACCAGGAGUGGAGCCUGCGGCUUAAUUUGACUCAACACCAUAAACCUCACCCGGCCCGGACACAGAAAGAUUGACAAAUUGAUAGCUCUCGAUUCUGUGGGUGGUGGUGUAUGGCCGUUCUUAGCUGGUGGAGCGAUUUGUCUGGUUAAUUCCGAUAAUGAACGAGACUCCUCCAUGCUAACUAGUACGUGACACCCCCCCUGCUCCCAGCGGGUGGCGUUAAACUUCUUGGAGGGACAAGUGGUAUUCAGCCACACUAGAUAGAGCAAUAACAGGUCUGGGAUGCCCUUAGAUGUCCGGGCUGCACAUGCGCUACACUGAACGGAUCAGCGUGUGACUACCCUUUGCCGACAGGUGUGGCUAACCCGCUGAACCCUGUUCGUGCUAGGGAUUGGGGAUUGCAAUUAUUUCCAUGAACAAGGAAUUCCCAGUAAGUGCGGGUCAUAAGCUUGCCUUGAUUAAGUGCCUGCCCUUUGUACACACUGCCCGUUGCUACUACCGGUUGGAUGGUUUAGUGAGGUCCUCGGAUUGGCCCUGCCGGGGUCGGCAAACGACCCUGGCGGAGCGGCGAGAAGACUAUAAAACUUGACUAUCUAAAGGAAGUAAAAGUCGUACGGGUUGGGUUAACCUGCCGGGG
rnacentral:rRNA from 1 species